rnacentral:rRNA from 1 species
AGAGUUUGAUCCUGGCUCAGGAUGAACGCUGGCGGCGUGCCUAACACAUGCAAGUCGAACGGAGUGCCAAAGACAAACAUUUCGGUGGGCGACUUUGGUAACUGAGUGGCGGACGGGUGAGUAACGCGUGGACAACCUGCCGUGUACAGGGGGAUAACAGCCGGAAACGGCUGCUAAUACCGCAUAUGCGCACAGUGCCGCAUGGCACAGGGCGGAAAACGAUGGUGGUACACGAUGGGUCCGCGUCUGAUUAGAUAGUUGGCGGGGUAACGGCCCACCAAGUCGACGAUCAGUAGCCGGCCUGAGAGGGCGGACGGCCACACUGGGACUGAGACACGGCCCAGACUCCUGCGGGAGGCAGCAGUGGGGAAUAUUGCACAAUGGGGGGAACCCUGAUGCAGCGACGCCGCGUGAAGGAAGAAGUAUUUCGGUAUGUAAACUUCUAUCAGCAGGGAAGAAAAAGGACGGUACCUGACUAAGAAGCCCCGGCUAACUACGUGCCAGCAGCCGCGGUAAUACGUAGGGGGCAAGCGUUAUCCGGAUUUACUGGGUGUAAAGGGAGCGUAGACGGCCAUGCAAGUCUGAUGUGAAAACCCGGGGCUCAACCCCGGGACUGCAUUGGAAACUGUGCGGCUGGAGUGUCGGAGAGGCAAGUGGAAUUCCUAGUGUAGCGGUGAAAUGCGUAGAUAUUAGGAGGAACACCAGUGGCGAAGGCGGCUUGCUGGACGACGACUGACGUUGAGGCUCGAAAGCGUGGGGAGCAAACAAGGUUAGAUACCCUGGUAGCCCACGCCGUAAACGAUGACUGCUAGGUGUCGGGGGGCAUGGCCCCUAGGUGCCGCAGCUAACGCAAUAAGUAUCCCCCCUGGGGAGUACGGCCGCAAGGCUAAAACUCAAAGGAAUUGACGGGGGCCCGCACAAGCGGAGGAACACGUGGUUUAAUUCGAUGAUACGCGAGGAACCUUACCCGGGCUUGAUCUGCAGGAGAACGAUUCAGAGAUGAUGAGGUCCUUCGGGACUCCUGCGGAGGUGCUGCAUGGUUGUCGUCAGCUCGUGCCGUGAGGUGUCGGCUUAAGUGCCAUAACGAGCGCAACCCCUGCUUUCAGUUGCCAUCGGGUAAUGCCGGGCACUCUGGAGGGACUGCCGCCGCAAGGUGGAGGAAGGUGGGGAUGACGUCAAAUCAGCACGGCCCUUACGUCCGGGGCUACACACGUGUUACAAUGGGGGGUACAGAGGGCCGGCCGCCGGCGACGUCGGUCAAAUCCCGAAAGCCUCUCCCAGUUCGGACUGGAGUCUGCAACCCGACUCCACGAAGCUGGAUUCGCUAGUAAUCGCGCAUCAGCCAUGGCGCGGUGAAUACGUUCCCUGGGCCUUGCACUCACCGCCCGUCA